UACGGGGGGGGUAAGCGUUAUCCGGAUUUACUGGGCGUAAAGCGUGUGCAGGCGGGUGGGCAAGUGGGGUGUGAAAUCGCCAGGCUAAACCUGGCGGGGUUAUGCCAGACUGUCCGUCUGGAGUGCGAGAGAGGGGCGUGGAAUUCCGGGUGUAGUGGUGAAAUGCGCAGAUAUCGGGAGGAACACCGGUGGCGAAGGCGGUUCUCUGGGCCUGUACUGACGCUGAGGAGCGAAAGCGUGGGGAGCGAACAGG
rnacentral:rRNA from 1 species